rnacentral:tRNA from 1 species
GCUGUGGUCUAGAUUGCUAUCAGUCUUGCCGAAACACGUCAUCCGUGGAGACCUGGCACCUUGGCUUGAA